GCGGACGUGGUGCACGGCGCACUGUUGCCAUGCAUGAUUGUAACGCUGUAGCAUGUGCUGCAGCCAGACGGGGUUCGACUCCCCGCGUCCGCA